rnacentral:rRNA from 1 species
AGUGCGGGAGGGAGAGUGGAAUUCUGGUGUAGCGGUGAAAUGCGUAGAUAUCAGGAGGAACACCGGUGGUGUAGACGGCUCUCUGGACCGUAACUGACGCUGAGACACGAAAGCGUGGGUAGCAAACAGGAUUAGAUACCCUGGUAGUCCACGCCCUAAACGAUGCAUAUUUGGUGUAGGUCAUUUAGUUGAUCUGUGCCGGAGCUAACGCGUUAAAUAUGCCGCCUGGGGAGUACAGUCGCAAGGCUGAAACUCAAAGGAAUUGACGGGGGCCCGCACAAGCGGUGGAGCAUGUGGUUCAAUUCGACGCAACGCGAAGAACCUUACCUGGGCUCGAACGGCUUCUCAACGCCGGUGGAAACAUCGGUACCCCGCAAGGGGGUGGAGUCGAGGUGCUGCAUGGCUGUCGUCAGCUCGUGUCGUGGGAUGUUGGGUUAAGUCCCGCAACGAGCGCAACCCUUGUCCUGUGUUGCCACCCCGUAAGGGAGCACUCGCAGGAGACCGCCAGCGAUAUGCUGGAGGAAGGUGGGGAUGACGUCAAGUCCUCAUGGCCUUUAUGUCCAGGGCUACACACGUGCUACAAUGGCCGGUACAAAGCGUUCCCAAGCCGCGAGGUGGAGGCAAUCGCAAAAAACCGGUCUCAGUUCGGAUUGCAGGCUGCAACUCGCCUGCAUGAAGCUGGAAUCGCUAGUAAUGGCAGAUCAGCACGCUGCCGUGAAUACGUUCCCGGGCCUUGUACACACCGCCCGUCACAUCACGAAAGUGGGUUGUACUAGAAGUCCUCAGGCUGACCCGCAAGGGGGGCAGAGGCCCAAGGUAUGACUCAUGAUUGGGGUGAAGUCGUAACAAGGUAACC